GUCGUACGCUUCUUUUUCCACCGGAGCUUGCUCCACCGGAAAAAGAAGAGUGGCGAACGGGUGAGUAACACGUGGGUAACCUGCCCAUCAGAAGGGGAUAACACUUGGAAACAGGUGCUAAUACCGUAUAACAAUCGAAACCGCAUGGUUUUGAUUUGAAAGGCGCUUUCGGGUGUCGCUGAUGGAUGGACCCGCGGUGCAUUAGCUAGUUGGUGAGGUAACGGCUCACCAAGGCCACGAUGCAUAGCCGACCUGAGAGGGUGAUCGGCCACAUUGGGACUGAGACACGGCCCAAACUCCUACGGGAGGCAGCAGUAGGGAAUCUUCGGCAAUGGACGAAAGUCUGACCGAGCAACGCCGCGUGAGUGAAGAAGGUUUUCGGAUCGUAAAACUCUGUUGUUAGAGAAGAACAAGGAUGAGAGUAACUGUUCAUCCCUUGACGGUAUCUAACCAGAAAGCCACGGCUAACUAC
rnacentral:rRNA from 1 species